rnacentral:lncRNA from 1 species
CAGAUUUUCAUCCAAACCUCCUACAAUGGGCUCUGAGGGGGAGCAGCUUGGUCUCAGAAAUCAGCUGUCUUAAUUUACCAUCUGGGGCUCUUCCUUCCAGAUUAGGCUGCUAUUGUUGAUGACGGGUUUGCUACCGUGGGGCUGGGUGAUCCGGAUGCUGCUAUCGAUGUGUUAUCCCUAGCAUCAAGAGAUGGUUCUUCUAGAACAUCAGCCGGCGGUAGGUCUCAAUCUCCAUCUCCAGGCGAGCCUUGACGCCCAGCAGCCGCUGGUGGUCCGCAUUCUGGCGCUCCGCGUCAGCCCGCACCUGUUGGAGUUGCUCCUCCAGGCUGCCGAUCAGCUGCUGCACCUGAGACAGUUGGCAGCAGUACCCACCCUCGGUUUCAGCCAGCGAGCCUUCCAGGGACGACUUCUGCAAAUGGGAGAUAGACAGAAUUGUCUGGGGAUCAGAGAACAAGAUGGGCAGCCCAUGGUCCAGCAUACGGUGGGUGCAACAUCUUUUUUUUUGGAAGUUAAAGGAUGCAUCAUCUCUCUCUGCAUGUCACGCUACCAUGGCGAGCUGGGACUGGAGUUCAAUCUCUAGGUUCUGCACCAUGCGCUUCAGGUCGGUGACCUCGCUCUUGCUGGACUGAAGCUGCUCCGUGUUGCUGCUGAUCUCUUUUCGGAGCUCUCUGCUCUGCAACAGCAAAGUAGGUGGAUGGGGUGAGCUCUGCGCUGGCUCAAAGGGCUUUCUGGGAAUGCAUCAAAUCUCGCGGUGUUACCUUUUCAAGAAACCAGGCCUCUGCAUCUUUCCGAUUUUGCUCAGCCAUGGCUUCAUACUGGGCUCUCAUUUCAUUGAGGACCUUGGUGAGAUCCACUCCAGGGGCCGCGUCCAUUUCUACAUUGACCUCACCUGGACCACCUGCCUGGAAACUUUGGAGUUCCUAGAGACAGCAAUGGAGAGAGAAAGACACAGGAGUACAUGUGGCUAGUGAGUCCCCCAGGUACGUUUGCCUUCUUGGGUCUCUUCAUGCAUGAUAAUAAUAAAAAAUAUAUUUUUGAGUGAGUUGGUAUAAAGGCAAAAUAUUAGCGCAAGGCAUCCACACAUUUUUCUUUAAGCUUGAAAACCUGUUUCUCUCAUAAUUAAAAAAAACUAAAACCAAAAACCAAGAUAUUUUCUCAGGUUUCUUGAGUGAUCAGGGGCUCCACGUUCUGUGCCUGUGGUUGCUGGCUCUGCUUCUAGAACAUCCACUUCCUAUAGUUUACAGAAAGGAAAGAGACCUGGUGUGCAGAUUGCUGCUACAGAGCUAGUGCCACAAGUGGCACCUGGGGUCAUACACUAUUUCACACCAUAGUCAUUGAGAACCCAACAGAAAGUUUCUUAGAAGCCCAUUGCCAGUGGUCGUUCUUCCUGUCCAUGCCCCGGCCUCUGAUACACACAUCAGAUCUCCAUAUGUCUUAUAUUGGUUACACUUCUCUAACAUAUGUGGCUGGUAUAUGUGUCAGCUGUAGACUUUUGUUUUCAUUUUUGAAACACUCCGUAUUUAAAGAAAACAUUUGACGAAGGUAAUUAAAAUUCCUGCCAUUACUUAAUGAUGGAAAUAGUAAAACCAGAAUAUUCCCCGCUAUCCCAAGUCUAAUACUCGAAUCCAUUAAGCCUUAAUAAAAAAUACCAUGACACAUACACAAGAGGGUGAGGUGGGGUGGGGGUGGGGGGCACACAUAGAGGAACACCAAAAUGAAUAGUCACUGUAACACAGAGAUAAUAUAUUCUCUAGCUUUGUUAAUUCAAAGUUUCAAUUUUUGGGUCUGGGAGGAAAAAAAAUAAAGCUAUUUCUGACCUCUUCGUGGUUCUUCUUCAUGUAAGCCAGCUCCUCAGUGAGGGUCUCAAGCUGGGCUUCCAGGUCGGCUCUAGUCAGGGUCAGCUCGUCCAGCACCCUUCGCAGCCCGUUGAUGUCGGCCUCCACGGUCUGGCGCAGGGCCAGCUCAUUCUCAUACCUGGAACCCAAGUGCCGACAGUUUAGGAAGUCAACAUUAACACAACCAUUGCGAUGGAUCCUGGACAUCUUCUGGGCUAUGUGGCCCAUGUCUGUAAUCCUAGUACUUGAGAAGUAGAGCCAUGAGUUCAAGGUCAUCCUCCACUAUAUAGUGAGUUCAAGGCAGCCCUAGGGAAGAGGAGGAGGAGGGGGAGGAAGAAGAAGGAGAAGGAGGAAGAAGAGAAGGAAGAAGAGGAGGAAGAGGGGAGGGAGAGAAGAAAACACUGCGCUAACAGUAUAUUAUGCCGAUUUUUUAUUUUGUGACUUUUCCUCUGUGUGUGAGUAUGAUUGCUUACUCCUCAUUUGGAGACAAGAGAAGAAAGAUGAAGAAAUGAUGAACCGAGAACUUCCUACCAGCAGUGAUCCUUGCAUCCCAGGAAGAAGGCUCCCUAACCAGAAAGAAGACCUCCAUCAUUGCCAGAAAAGAUACACAGAGAGCCACCGCCCGAGCUUCCAGCUAUCCCCAUCCCUAUCCCCAUUCCUCCCGCGCCACCUCUCAGAGGUCCCCCAUAGGCAGAGCCAAGCCCCGGCAAGCAACCUGCAGAGCCACCGCUAAAGCCAGAACUAGAACCAAACAUGGAAGCAGCAGAAAAGAGGCCUCCACAGCCAACUCCAAAGCCAGAGGCCGAUCCCCCAUAGCCGCCGGCAACACUAGAAGCAGAUGCACCCCAAGGUCUGCCUGCCGCCCCAUUCUGUGAGGAAGACCUCCUGGACAGCGCAGAGGUGCAGACUGAAAGCGACAUGCUGUUGCUGGAGAGGUGGUGACCCAAGAGAGACCGCAGUGCUGGUAUGCCAGAAGGGGUCCUGCCUUUAUAGGCUGGGAGGUGGGUGUUGCGGUUAAAGAGUUCACUCUCUGCGUUCCAACUCUCGCAUGCCCACCCACACCCAGUUGGCCAGCUCAGCAGGUAUGUGAUUUAUGCAUCGUGAAAAUUCACUGAUAUAGCUAUAAUCGAAUAACCAUUACCACUAGAUAUCUGACACACAAGAAAGAAGGCUGGGUGGAGCAGAUAGGCUGUCGUAAGGAAUCUGUCACCUUCAGUUGUCCUCAGCACUGCCUGUAUCUUCCAGACACCAGAAGAGUGACGACUGGAGCAUUAAGGAAUCCUUCCGAAGCCCCAUGCUUCCUGAAGCUCUGUCUUCCCCUCCCCUGUCUAUUUCUUUCGGUUCAGUAUAAGCCAACCAACCAUGCUGUGGUUCUCUCUGUAGGGACAGUUUCAGAGGCAGAUGAAGAGCGCAUUCCUGGAAGUGAUAGAGCGCGGAUUCUUCCUCGUUCAGCAAGAGCAACACUCACCUCGUCCAGGUAGUGUUGGCCCUUAUUCAGCCUCCCCAGAGGCGAAAUCUUAAAUCUGGAGUCGUACCAAGCCAGAGUGAGAGCUGCCUAUUGGGCACUCGGGAGCACAUGCAGAAGGUCACAGCUGAGCUUCAUGGCAGGCCUCCGUAAGAAAUACCCAGGACAGGGGCUGGAGAGAUGGCACUGACUGCUCUUCCUGAGGUCCUGAGUUCAAUUCCCAGCAACCACAUGGUGGCUCAUAACCAUCUAUAAUGGGGUCCCAUGCCCUCUUCUGGUGUGUCUGGAAACAGCUACAGUGUACUCGCAUAAAAUAAUCUAAAAAAAGGAAGAAAGAAAGAAGGAAAGAAAACCCAGGAUCAAACAGACUGGCAGCUUUUCAAAUCACUUUCCCAGGGUCAGGAACACUGAACCCGGAGUGACAGCUACUGACAACUCCCCUUAACCUUGUUAAAUAAGGAACAUGUGCAAGGGACACAUUCUCCUCCCAACCUAUACAGUCACAAAGAAAGAGCAGGGCUUCAAAGCAAGAGGUUUGCAGAAAUGAUACAUUUAUACUGUAAAUAUAUGCCUGGGAAGCACCAGCAAUCUCUGGCAGACAAGGUUUGACGACACAGUCUGCAAUCCACUUGCCUCAUUUGUAAGGAGCAUGGGAAGUUGUGAACUGAGAUGCCAAGACCCACAGUUACAGAUGGAGGCUCCACUAAGGGUUCCUCUAAUCUAUGGGCUGAGCUCGUCCUUGUUUGAACUGACAUCAGUUCCCAUGUUCCUGCUGUCAUCCAAGACACUGGAUCAAGCGAGUCGCAGACCUUGUGUUUCAGAGAGCUCCUAUGAUGUUGCUUUUAUCUCCUUUUACAACAGAACCAUCUCAGAGUCAGGACAUUGACUUAUUUAAGGCAGAGAGAGAAAUCAGCUCUUUAGUAUAGUCUACAGACAGCGCAACCCUGAUGCUUCUCUUGGUGAAAUACAAAGGACACCAGGUGACUGUGACCUCCUUAACUGUGAGAUUGAAGUUCUCACCCACACACCAACCAGAAACUCUGACUCUGUCCUUCCUGGAACUUCUCGGGGGCACAGCCUAAGACCACAAAAUGAUUUUCUGUGGCCUAUGAAAAAUGACACCCUGUGAGACUCUGCCAAUGCUAAGGCAGAUGUGUCUUUAGUUUGGGUUUUGUCCUCUGGCCUCAUCUCCAGACAUAUGACAAAGCAUAAGUGAGUGACAUUGUGGUUGUUUCCUGUGACUCACAAGCAACACUCUCGCAAGGCAGAGUGGCUCCAUUUUACCACCAUAGAAACAAACAGGGGCUGUUGCUUGCUACAGCGUCAACAAGGAUGUGCCCUAAACACAACAUCCACUUAGCAGUUACAAGCAGCUAAUAACGUAAUGUGAAUAGCAUGUAUUUUUGAACUCGGAGUCAAUUUUGUCCUGAAAUGCAUGUUUUACAUCCUUAAUGCUUAUAUGUAUAUAUUUAUGUAUAUUUAAUUUAAUUUUAAUUUUCUUGACCGGGCUUCACUGUGUAGCCUUGGCUGUCCUGUAGAUCUCUGUAGAUCAGGCUGGUCCUGAACUCUCUGAGAUCUGUCUGCCUUUACCUUCCAAGGAUUAGGACUAAAGGCAUGUGCCAACACUGCCUGGCUGUAUAUUUUAAGUAAAUUUGCUUCAUAGCCUGCAUUAGGCUUUUAUAAUAGGCAUUUAUGUUUCUACACGGGUAUGCUCCUGAACUGUAGGCUUCUAAAGUAGAGGUGUCUAACUGAUGUUUUACCCUGAGUCCCAGCCCAUUCUUUGACUAAAAACCUUCAUUUUAUACCCAGAGUUGUUUUGCUUGAAAGAAUUUAUUUGUAAUUUGCUUAAAUGUGUCACUGAAAAUGCACCUCAAAAUCAUCACGCCCCACUCUCUGGGAUGCUUGAUUAAGUCUUAUUCUGAACUCAUGUAUAAGGGGAUAACUUGGAAGCUGGAAAGAGAUGUCUUUCUUUUUCAAUGACUAUUUGGAAAGGCUGGAUGCGGUGUUCAUUGCCUGCUCCCUCCACCCUGCCCCCUGCUCGCCGUGGCCUGUUAGCUUAGUUGGUUGGAG